rnacentral:rRNA from 1 species
AUUGAACGCUGGCGGCAGGCCUAACACAUGCAAGUCGAACGGUAACAGGAAGCAGCUUGCUGCUUCGCUGACGAGUGGCGGACGGGUGAGUAAUGUCUGGGAAGCUGCCUGAUGGAGGGGGAUAACUACUGGAAACGGUAGCUAAUACCGCAUAAUGUCGCAAGACCAAAGAGGGGGACCUUCGGGCCUCUUGCCAUCGGAGGUGCCCAGAUGGGAUUAGCUUGUUGGUGGGGUAACGGCUCACCAAGGCGACGAUCCCUAGCUGGUCUGAGAGGAUGACCAGCCACACUGGGACUGAGACACGGUCCAGACUCCUACGGGAGGCAGCAGUGGGGAAUAUUGCACAAUGGGCGCAAGCCUGAUGCAGCCAUGCUGCGUGUAUGAAGAAGGCCUUCGGGUUGUAAAGUACUUUCAGCGGGGAGGAAGGGAGUAAAGUUAAUACCUUUGCUCAUUGACGUUACCCGCAGAAGAAGCACCGGCUAACUCCGUG